rnacentral:ribozyme from 1 species
AGUCGUCAUGGCGACUAUAAAUAGACGUUUAAGCCAUGAGCGUUACAUAGAAUGCAAAUUUUAUGUAGAGCGUA